AGAGUUUGAUCAUGGCUCAGAAUCAACGCUGGCGGCGCGCCUAACACAUGCAAGUCGAACGAGAAAGUGGAGCAAUCCAUGAGUACAGUGGCGUACGGGUGAGUAACACGUGGGUAAUCUACCUUUUAGUGAGGAAUAACCGAGGGAAACUUUGGCUAAUACCGCAUAAGCCUGAGAAGGGAAAGCAGAAAUGCGCUGAAAGAGGAGCCCGCGGCCGAUUAGCUAGUUGGUGGGGUAAGAGCCCACCAAGGCAGAGAUCGGUAGCCGGCCUGAGAGGGCACACGGCCACACUGGCACUGAAACACGGGCCAGACUCCUACGGGAGGCAGCAGUGGGGAAUCUUGCACAAUGGGGGAAACCCUGAUGCAGCGACGCCGCGUGAGCGAUGAAGCCCUUCGGGGUGUAAAGCUCUUUCGUCAGGGAAGAUAGUGACGGUACCUGGAGAAGCAGCUGCGGCUAACUACGUGCCAGCAGCCGCGGUAAUACGUAGGCAGCAAGCGUUGUUCGGAGUUACUGGGCGUAAAGGGUGUGUAGGCGGUUCUUUAAGUUUGGUGUGAAAUCUCCCGGCUUAACCGGGAGGGUGCGCCGAAUACUGAGGGACUAGAGUACGGGAGAGGAAAGUGGAAUUCCUGGUGUAGCGGUGAAAUGCGUAGAUAUCAGGAGGAACACCGGUGGUGUAGACGGCUUUCUGGACCGUAACUGACGCUGAGACACGAAAGCGUGGGUAGCAAACAGGAUUAGAUACCCUAGUAGUCC
rnacentral:rRNA from 1 species